rnacentral:rRNA from 1 species
CCUACGGGUGGCAGCAGUGGGGAAUAUUGCACAAUGGGGGAAACCCUGAUGCAGCGACGCCGCGUGAGUGAUGAAGUAUUUCGGAAUGUAAAGCUCUAUCAGCAGGGAAGAAAAUGACGGUACCUGACUAAGAAGCCCCGGCCAACUACGUGCCAGCAGCCGCGGGAAUACGUAGGGGGAAAGCGUUAUGCGGAUUUACGGGGGGUAAAGGGAGCGUAGACGGCGGGGCAAGCAAGAUGUGAAAGCCCGGGGCUCAACCCCGGGACGGCAUUUGGAACUGUGCUGCUAGAGUGUCGGAGAGGCAGGCGGAAUUCCUGGUGUAGCGGUGAAAUGCGUAGAUAUUAGGAGGAACACCAGUGGCGAAGGCGGCCUGCUGGACGAUGACUGACGUUGAGGCUCGAAAGCGUGGGGAGCAAACAGGAUUAGAUACCCGGGUAGUC